rnacentral:lncRNA from 1 species
UUGAAAGAAACCGCCAUGACUCAGGAGAAGCAGCGAUGGCGGACACCCAGUGGCAACGGUGGUUUUCUACAAAUUGAGGACAAGCUCCUCCAUAUCCACAACUUCCACUCACUUGAAGUCCCAUCAUUAGCUCGGCCUGCUGGAGCUCCCACACCAGCCCACAGAAACCACCGUAAGUGUCGCGGGUUGGAGAAGGUCCCGGCACUGGUCAACCUCAGAAGGGAGAAGGGGCAGAAGAAGAGGAGACGUGUAUGUGCCAAGCUCCCUGUUGGGCUUUGUGGCUACAAAGAGGAAAACAACACCAGCCCUGCCUUCUGGGAUCUCCAAGUCCAAGAAGAGAGUCAGCCCAGCUGAAUAGAAAUGGACACAUAACCAGAGCUGAGAGGUCCUGGGUAGCAAGCUGACCAAGCUUUUGGAGGUUGGGUGGGUCUUUUGGAGCAAAGGUAUCAUGAAUGGUAUCAUAAUAGCAACUGACAGUACGUUAACAUCUCAAGACUUUUUAGUUGGGAUAAAUGGAAUCAAUAGAGAGAAGUUCUCCACAGGCCAAAGAAUACUGUUGAAAUUAUUUAUGAAAACAUUUUCUCCUUUUGCAAGAAAAAUCAUUUAUGAGGAAGCAUACCUAAGUUUUCACAUGUAUAGAAUAUGGAAAGGAUGACCAAUCACUUGCCGAUCUGUUCUAUCUCGCUCAUGAGUUCUACCAUCGGCAGCAAUAAUUACGGACUUUAGAACAUAAUCAAUAUAAAAUACCAUUGGUUACACUAUAUUUAUAAUUGUUUCAUUUUUGCUUGGUGAUAUGGAAUAAAACCAUUACAAUCCUUUCAA